UUAGCUCCUCCUCCAGUGGUUGGUUUGCUUCUUAUAGCCCUAGUCCCCUCCACCUCCCCUACCAGUGGAGCUUUCACUGUAUUCCUACCUUGGAACAAGGAAAGGGGACCCUUUCAAAAAGAAGUAGGGCUAAAUUGCAAGCUUUAGGUGGACCCUAUUCAAAUGGCUCAACAGACCAGCCUCAGAGCCCUGGGUCCCCCUGAGGAAGGGGAUGCUGCAGCAGACAGCCAAACCCAGCAGCCUGCCAGACCUCGGAGAGCUAGAUCCCGGAGAAGAAGGCGUAGACAGGCAGUUCCUGCAUCCCAAGGAGAAGAUAAACCUAAGACCUUUCAAGUCUACAAAUUUAGCAGUCAUUCCCCACCUGUAAGUGCUCACUGUAAUGGUGGAAGCUCUCGGAGUCCUGCGUUGCCUGAUGAUGGAGAUGUUAUGGGAAUGAUGGCUAGGGCUGCUGGAUACUGGGGGAGGCGAGAAACUCCUCAGUGUUGGGUCAGAGGCUGCACUUGUGCUUGUUCAAAGGCUGAAAGAGAAGAAGGCCAUCCUUCCAGGAGCCGUGUGCUGCCAUGUGAUCUAGAUGAAGAUGACAGCUCCACCUCCAUGAUAAGAGAGGGAUUAUUUUCAGUGGCUGAAGAUGCUGAUGGCAGCACUGAGGACACUGGGACAGCCAGAUCUUGGGCUGGUGCUAGAAGUGAUGAUGGUCCCAGGAGUUUUGCAGAGGAGUAUUCACUGGUUCCCAUAAACAGACGAAAGCAAUAUUCUGCCCAGACUUUUCAUGAUGCAGUAGAAAGAUUUUUGAGAGGGUUCUGAGCUUUGGCACAUCCAUUUUGGAUUUGGGAGACAAAUCUGUGGAGAUGCAAAUGCCUGUCAUCAUAUGCACAGUUUAUUGUAAUACAGGUUGAAGCCUGCAGAAAAGCCAUGAAGGUUCAAACAGAGUAAAGCUCAGUAUAUUGCUCUUAGAUUGAUAGACAGCUAGAAAGUUAUUUGCAUUCCAGUUUUGUCUCCUUGAUAUGUGUUGCUGCCUUCUUCAGGAGCUUAAAAACCUUUAGUAAUCAUAAGGCAUUAACAAUGGAAAAAUUACGUUGACUCUAAGCUAAUGUAAUGACUAUUUCUUUUGCAAUGUUGAGAGAGGCAAAAUGCAGCUUUUUUAUUAUUUCUCUGCAGUAGAGUCUCUAUUUAAUAGCUUCUUGAAGAUAUUUGAAAUUCAAAGCCUUUGUUUAUGCUAGAAUUUCUUUGCACUAAAUGCUUUAAUUUACCCUAUAGAGGCCUAGAGGGUUUAGUAUUUUUUUUUGUGUGUGUUUUUUUUCUUUAACUUGAUCUAAAUCUAAAAAUUGUAUUCUGCUGCAUAUAUUUGAUUAUUCAUAUAUAAGCAGUUAUGUAUGAUAAUGUGAGAUAGCUAGAGCACAACCUGCUUAAAAAGUCUCACACCCUUUAGCUGUUAACUUGUCACAUGAAUUAAAAAUAAAAAAAAAUAUUCUGAAGACCUUAUCAAA